UCAUGAUCUCGUCGUUGGUAAUCUUUAUGGAAAGACGUAAGAGUUGUAAUUUCUCCCUCGUGUGCGUGGACAAUCGACGAUAACGUUGAUUCACAUACAGGAUGGACAAUAUCGUAUCUGGUCAGCGCCGGCGCCGAUGUGUGAAGAGAAGGUGGUGCGAAGCGAGUGAAACUAAAUACGCAAAUAAGGACGACGGGGGAGAGGGUGCGAACUUGUGUGCUUUCGUGACGCGAUAUGGCAGAUAAGCGAUCGUCGUUAGACGACAUCGAUGGCGAGGCAAGAUACGCGAUGUGGUAUUAAUAAAGGAAGAGCUUACGUAAAAAGACAUCUCUUUUUUUCUCUAACCUACUCUCAAGCUUGGACUUGCCUGCAAGGGCAUCUCGAUGCCGGCCUGCCAUUCUCCACUCUGUAUCUUGGACGAAAUCUUUUCCUGCUCGAUGUUCACUAUGUACAUGACCAUCUUAAAGUCCGCACCGUGCUCCC